AGCAGCCGCGGUAAUUCCAGCUCCAAUAGCGUAUAUUAAAGUUGUUGCAGUUAAAAAGCUCGUAGUUGAAUUUCGGGGUCAGCAAGUUGGUCGUGCCACUGGUAUGUACUGGCUUUGCUGAUUCCUCCUUCUUGUAGAACCGUAAUGCCAUUAAUUUGGUGUUGCGGGGAAACAGGACUGUUACUUUGAAAAAUUAGAGUGUUUAAAGCAGGCUAACGCUUGAAUACAUUAGCAUGGAAUAAUGAAAUAGGACGAGCGAUCCUAUUUUGUUGGUUUCUAGGAUUGACGUAAUGAUUAAUAGGGAUAGUUGGGGGCAUUAGUAUUCAAUUGUCAGAGGUGAAAUUCUUGGAUUUAUUGAAGACUAACUACUGCGAAAGCAUUUGCCAAGGAUGUUUUCAUUAAUCAAGAACGAAAGUUAGGGGAUCGAAGACGAUCAGAUACCGUCGUAGU
rnacentral:rRNA from 1 species